AUAGACAGCACUUUGGCGAUGUACGGGAUCAGUGGUAGGUUCAGGAUCAACAACACCAGAUUUCCAAUGUACAUCGAAAUGAUCACCGCCCAGAAGAUCUGAGGUUCGUCGAUCAUCAGACGCGGCCC
rnacentral:ncRNA from 1 species